rnacentral:rRNA from 1 species
AGAGUUUGAUCCUGGCUCAGGAUUAACGCUGGCGGUAUGCCUAACACAUGCAAGUCGAACGGAAUACUAAUUAAGAGAAUCUCACACUAGUGAGAGGUUCUCACGAGUAGUAUUAGUGGCGACGGGUGAGUAACACGUUGGAACCUGCCCCGAAGUGGGGAAUAACUGCUCGAAAGAGUAGCUAAUACCCCAUAGUAUCCGGUUUAUCCGGAUUAAAGAUUUAUCGCUUCGGGAGGGGCCUGCGUCUGAUUAGCUUGUUGGUGAGGUAAAAAGCUCACCAAGGCGACGAUCAGUAGCUGGUUCGAGAGGAUGACCAGCCACACUGGGACUGAGAUACGGCCCAGACUCCUACGGGAGGCAGCAGUGAGGAAUCUUCCACAAUGGACGAAAGUCUGAUGGAGCAAUACCGCGUGCAGGAAGACGCUUUUCGGAGUGUAAACUGCUUUUGUCGUCGAAGAUUAUGACUGUAGACGAAGAAUAAGGACCGGCUAACUACGUG